CCGUCGAUAGCUCAGUUGGUAGAGCGGAGGACUGUGGAGUUGCAGCAAUCCUUAUGUUGCUGGUUCGAAUCCUGCUCGACGGA
rfam:Angiostrongylus costaricensis strain Costa Rica genome assembly, scaffold: ACOC_contig0002700